rnacentral:lncRNA from 1 species
GCGUCUGCAGUGUGUGGGGUUCGCGGGGCGGCGGGUAGAGGCGAGUGUUUAGAGACUUCGGGUCCCUGACUCGCCUCCAGCAGUGGAGACAGGUCAUCGGUCUGGUCUGCGUGGGCUUCUGGGAAUGUUUCAGGGGCAGGGAGAGCGCGCUUUUUUUUUUCUGUUGUUCGCUAGCGCGUGAGUUGAGCAUUUUUGUCAUCUGCAAAUAAUUUUAGCCAGGUGGCAAGUGUAUGGACUGUGGAGUAAGAAGUACCUGCCUCUGCCUCUGACUUGGGUUCUGGCCUAUAGGAACAAGACAUUUUCAGUAAUGGAAGAAGGAGCUUCCAGGCUGGGGAAGAUCAUCAUUUCCAGUGGUAGCUUGACCUGAGAUGAUACCUGACCACCACUUCUGGGAAGGCCCAGAAUAGACAGAAGAGAGAGAACAUACUAGAGUUGCUAGCCCCUAAGAGUUGAACGAAAUGGGCAAGGCCCAG